AAUUGAUAAAAAAAGUUAACGAUGCUCAUGUACCAUGAAAGAGAGUUUAGCAUAUAUUAAUACAAAUUUAGAAUCUAGUUAGAAAUUUUAAAACAACAUUAAAAAUUAUAGCCUUCAGUAUAUAAAGCAUUUACCAAAAACUCAAUAUUUUCGUAGCGGUUAACACAUAGAUUUUGAGAAAAAUUCAAAAUAUAUGACAAUAUUGUUUUAAUGCAUAGUUGUCUCUUGCACUGAUAUAUGAUGAUGCUCAAA
rnacentral:lncRNA from 1 species